rnacentral:siRNA from 1 species
UAAUACAUAUGUGGAUCGCGC